GUGGGGAAUCUUGCGCAAUGGGCGAAAGCCUGACGCAGCCAUGCCGCGUGAAUGAUGAAGGUCUUAGGAUUGUAAAAUUCUUUCACCGGGGACGAUAAUGACGGUACCCGGAGAAGAAGCUCCGGCUAACUUCGUGCCAGCAGCCGCGGUAAUACGAAGGGGGCUAGCGUUGCUCGGAAUUACUGGGCGUAAAGGGCGCGUAGGCGGACAGCUUAGUCAGAGGUGAAAGCCCAGGGCUCAACCUUGGAAUUGCCUUUGAUACUGGCUGUCUUGAGUUUGGGAUAGGUGAGUGGAACUCCGAGUGUAGAGGUGAAAUUCGUAGAUAUUCGGAAGAACACCGGUGGCGAAGGCGACUUGCUGGGCAGCAACUGACGCUGAGGCGCGAAAGCCAGGGGAGCAAACGGGAUUAGAAACCCGAGUAGUCC
rnacentral:rRNA from 1 species